UGCAUCUGCCUGUGUCUUCUUUUCCUCUGC
rnacentral:piRNA from 1 species